rnacentral:rRNA from 1 species
UACGUAGGCAGCGAGCGUUGUUCGGAGUUACUGGGCGUAAAGGGUGCGUAGGCGGUUGUUUAAGUUUGGUGUGAAAUCUCCCGGCUCAACUGGGAGGGUGCGCCGAAUACUGAAUGACUAGAGUGCGGGAGAGGAGAGUGGAAUUCCUGGUGUAGCGGUGAAAUGCGUAGAUAUCAGGAGGAACACCUGCGGUGUAGACGGCUUUCUGGACCAUUGCUGACGCUGAGACACGAAAGCGUGGGUAGCAAACAGG